rnacentral:tRNA from 1 species
GGGCAGAUAGCUCAGUGGUAGAGCGAAAGAUUGCAGUACGACGCAAGACACUGCAGAUAUCUUUAGGUCGCGUGUUCGAUCCACGCUCGGCCCU